CAAAUAUUUUGUGCCAGCGGAAUCGACUGCCAACAGAUGCGUAAAAUCCUCUCUAGUCCACUUUGGAAAUAUCUUUAGUCCACCACCAAAAUGGUGUCCACUCCAUACCGAAGUCUACGAAAGACAUUUCUGUGCGAUAGUACAAACUGAGUCCAUUUGAAGUUUGAGGCACGCCACAAAUAGGAUCAUACAGCUUAUCGACACCGAAACCCUUUGGAAUCCCAGCGUUACCACCACACAUCGAUGUACCAAUAUUCAAGGUUCCAAGGAUGAGAGUUUUUGACUACCCCUGCACCAGUCUCUGUAUGAUCAUGAAAUGCUCUCCAGGCUGCAUGAGAGGCCCAGGCUGGCAAACGUUGAAAACAGAACGCAUCACUGCAAUUCAGAAAGAAAAUAAAAGAUAAAAAUCUAUUUUCGACGUGAAGAAUUUCGUUUGUUUACUGGGAAAAGCAAAAUUUAAAAAUUAUUUCAAAAUGAGAGAAAGAGACGAUAAAUAUGAAUUAAGACAUAAAAGAAGUUGUAGUUUGCUGCUGGAAAAUUCUUUAAAACAAAUAAAUAGCGUUUUCCACUUAAAAAAUUUUAAACCUAAAGGGUGUCUGUAGGAAAACUUUGCUGUUUGUAAAACUUUUUUUAACUCUUGCAAGUUUUUGGUCUUUCAAGUAUUGGAUUGUUUUCUUGUUGUUGCCAUAUGGCAACUUU